UACAUUGAUAACUAUGUUCAUUGAUUGUUUGUUGAUAAUGUUUCACUUAUUUAAAAAAAAUGUGAUUUCCAGAUUUUUUUAUAUUUAAGGUCAUAUUGUAAUAAAUUGUUAUUAAAAAUGCAAGCCAAUUAGGCAAUAAACUCGAGUGAUCAAAGCAUUUUUGUAUACACAGUAUUAUGAAAAAUUUGAAUACUUUUGUUUCUGUUGUUGUUUAUGAAUAAAAAUCAAAUUCUAAAAAAAAAUAAAAUAAUAAUAAUAAUUCUAGAUCCAUUAGGAUGCCCGAGACUUGAUU